UACUCUCUAAAUAGACAUCUUUUGGAGCCUUCAGGCUGGAUAGGAUAUGAGGCCAGGCCGAUUUCACACAGUGGAGCCUCAUCAAUCUUUCGGUUCAUUCAGUUCACCAAGGGAGGUCCUCAUUCACAGAGAGAGUAGUCAAUAGACCAGCGCUACCCGGGUGAGAGCAAUUCCAUUAAACUGGGCUUCCACCAUAGGCCUCAGAAAAGCGGGUUUAUCAGAGGCCAACAGCCCAAGGAGGGCUGCAGUAACUCAACCAUGAGGAGGACGGAAGAACACCUGCUGAAGCACUUCAUCUUCUCUCUUCCCUCCUUGGUUGUCCUCAUGAGAUCACACAAAUGUGAAAUGGAUACCUCUGCCUUUUUCCAGAUGACAGAUACAACAAUAUGUGAGCUAGCUAGCUUGGCUCUGUUUUUUCUAAAGUUCACAACCUGACAUCUCUCUAUUACCCUUGUAUGCGACUGGCAGCCUCGAGCAGACAUUUACAGAGCAGCAGUCAUGUAUGUGAGUAAACACAUGGGCUCUGUCACACCCUUGAAUCAAUUUCAAUGUCCCUGACAUGACACUCUUCAAAUAAAUGGGCUGCACCACAGACAUAAACCUCAUGCUUUGACUGUGAAGUCAAAUAAACUGACUACGAAACAAUAUAAUAUUAAAAUAUCAAAAUAUUAAAAUUUUGAUUAUACUCCUUCCCCCCAACCCCUUCAUCACUUACUUUAACUCUGCCUGUCCCA